AAAUCCACAUCUAAGCAGUAUUUUCCGAAACACUCCGGAAAAACGAAUCACAGUCCCAAAAAUUGUGUGAUAUUUUCGUUGGUGCUUCUAUUUUUGAAAAUCUUAAAUAUAAUCGAACAUUCCGAGUGAUGGCCGAACCGAAUAUUAUCUAUGAGGAUACCUACUCCUCCAGCUCCACUACUUCGGAAGACUCGGAGUAUUUUAUGGCUGAAGGGGGCUCUCAAAAAGAUCAUGAUGAAUCUUCCACAGCCACUGAUUUGAGUUCUUAUAAUGAUCCUUCGGAGGGGUCCAUAAAAGACGAUGGGCCAGCAGACGCAAGGCCAGGAUGUGGAUCAAUCGAUCUUAAAAAUGGCCAAUUAGGCUUCUGGUGCGUUAUUUGCUAAUCUGUUUGCAAAUUACGCUGCGAAAUAAAAACAUGCCCAUUCCACAUUCCUUUUAGACGACCAAAGGAAUUUUUAAAUAUACAUUUUUUGCUGGUUUUCAAACAAAUAAAUAUAUCUACUAUUUGUACAGCAGUUUUCAAAUUCCUUAAGCCCUAAUUUAUUUUCCAUAGAUUUAUUUCCUUUGUCCUUUGAUGCACGCCCCAAAAACUAUAUUCACUCGUAAUUUGAAAAGACGACUGGUCUUUCAUUUAGUCGCUGUGCAAAUCCAUGUCUGUGUCAUGGAAUAACUACAAAUCAUGCAGGAAUCAAAUGGGGGAAUGGAAUAUAUUCUAUGUCCUCCAACUAGGGGGCUGCGGGCUGGGGGCUGGUCUUGUCAUUUAAUAUCCGCAAUUAAAGUGGUAAUCAAUCAAAAUGAACAGGCGGAAAAACCUAAAUGAAUUAAAAGCAAACGAAAGAAC